GAUUCCACAUUGUUAUACCUAUCACACUUCAGUCCAGUACGAAUUAUGUAUGGGACGGAAGUCUGAAAGGUUUAAACAUGUG
rnacentral:pre_miRNA from 1 species